AUUGAACGCUGGCGGCAGGCCUAACACAUGCAAGUCGAACGAGUGGCGGACGGGUGAGUAAUGUCUGAGAAACUGCCUGAUGGAGGGGGAUAACUACUGGAAACGGUAGCUACUACCGACUACCAUAGGAUGUUCCCAGAUGGGAUUAGCUAGUAGGUGGGGUAAAGGCUCACCUAGGCGACGAUCCCUAGCUGGUCUGAGAGGAUGACCAGCAACACUGGAACUGAGACACGGGCCAGACUCCUACGUGAGGCAGCAGGGGGGAAUAUUGCACAAUGGGCGAAAGCCUGAUGCAGCCAUGCCGCGUGUCUGAAGAAGGCCUUCGGGUUGUAAAGGACUUUUGUGAGGGAAGCGGUACCUGAAGAAUAAGCACCGGCUAACUACGUGCCAGCAGCCGCGGUAAUUC
rnacentral:rRNA from 1 species